ACGUACUGUGCGAACGUUAUUCGGAAUCACUGGGCUUAAAGGGUACGUAGGCGGUUAAUCAAGUCAGGUGUGAAAUGCCUGAGCUCAACUGAGGCACUGCGCUUGAAACUGAUUAGCUAGAGUAUUCCAGGGGUGUGCGGAACUUAUGGUGGAGCGGUGAAAUGCGUUGAUAUCAUGAGGAACACCGGAGGCGAAGGCGGCUUACUGGCUCGAUACUGACGCUGAGGUGCGAAAGUGUGGGGAGCAAACAGGAUUAGAUACCCGCGUAGUCC
rnacentral:rRNA from 1 species